rnacentral:rRNA from 1 species
GACGAACGCUGGCGGCGUGCUUAACACAUGCAAGUCGAACGAUGAAGCUGGAGCUUGCUCCGGUGGAUUAGUGGCGAACGGGUGAGUAACACGUGAGCAAUCUGCCCUUGACUCUGGGAUAACUGCGGGAAACUGUAGCUAAUACCGGAUACGACACCUUGGGGCAUCCCAGGGUGUGGAAAGAAUUUCGGUCAAGGAUGAGCUCGCGGCCUAUCAGCUAGUUGGUGAGGUAAUGGCUCACCAAGGCGACGACGGGUAGCCGGCCUGAGAGGGUGACCGGCCACACUGGAACUGGGACACGGUCCAGACUCCUACGGGAGGCAGCAGUGGGGAAUAUUGCACAAUGGGCAAAAGCCUGAUGCAGCAACGCCGCGUGAGGGAUGAAGGCCUUCGGGUUGUAAACCUCUUUUAGCAGGGAAGAAGCGAAAGUGACGGUACCUGCAGAAAAAGCACCGGCUAACUACGUGCCAGCCGCCGCCGUAA